CAAUUUCCCCUUAGAAUUGCUGCUUCAUCGUGAAUUCAAACAAGUCCGAAACGAAGUCUCACUCUCCACAUAUGGCUAUCAGAAAAACUCCCCUUCUUGAAAGAUUAUGGAGCAGUUGAUGAGAGGAUAGACCCAAUUGACAAAAGCUGAAGUUGACUGGCAUCCCAAUCCUGGAAUUGAAUUUGUAAUUGUUAGGGAUGACAACAUUUAAGACUCCAAAAGCCAGAUCGAACAGCCUGCCCUGCACAACGGUUUUGUCCCUGCAUGCUGCCACA